rnacentral:rRNA from 1 species
GAUGAACGCUGGCGGCGUGCCUAAUAAAUGCAAGUCGAGCGAACAGACGAGGAGCUUGCUCCUCUGACGUUAGCGGCGGACGGGUGAGUAACACGUGGAUAACCUACCUAUAAGACUGGGAUAACUUCGGGAAACCGGAGCUAAUACCGGAUAAUAUAUUGAACCGCAUGGUUCAAUAGUGAAAGACGGUUUUGCUGUCACUUAUAGAUGGAUCCGCGCCGCAUUAGCUAGUUGGUAAGGUAACGGCUUACCAAGGCAACGAUGCGUAGCCGACCUGAGAGGGUGAUCGGCCACACUGGAACUGAGACACGGUCCAGACUCCUACGGGAGGCAGCAGUAGGGAAUCUUCCGCAAUGGGCGAAAGCCUGACGGAGCAACGCCGCGUGAGUGAUGAAGGUCUUCGGAUCGUAAAACUCUGUUAUUAGGGAAGAACAAAUGUGUAAGUAACUAUGCACGUCUUGACGGUAACUAAUCAGAAAGCCACGGCUAACUACGUG